rnacentral:lncRNA from 1 species
AUGGGAGUUUACCUGCACAAAACUCUUUUUUUGCCUGCUACCAUCCACGUUAGAUAUGACUUGCUCCUCCUUGCCUUCCAUCAUGAUUGUGAGGCCUGCCCAGACAUGUGGAACUCUGAUAUAAGUCUUUUGAGGUACAGCCUGGCACAAAAAGGAUGAGAUUUGUGGGCAGAAUUUUGGAAGAAUAUCUCCCGAGAGAACAUUCAGGACAGAGCCCUACAUCUCCCCGAGAAGAGGUGAAAGAGACUGCUCCUAUCUGCUUCUGCAUCAAACUUCAGGCUCAAGACCUGUCCAGAAAAAAAAAUGUCUUCUUUCAGGGAUGAACUGCUGUCCUCAUCAGACGCCUUAUUUUGUUUAGAAUUCAAGCUCACUUGACAGGUUAUUGUGAAGAUUAAAUGAAUUAAUACAUGUGAAGCAACUGUAACAACUCUUGACAUGCGUGGGCUGGACUUCCAGAAGAAACGUUGUCAGAACUCUGCCCAACUGAAAACAAGCCUACUAAAAAUAAAUAAAUAAAUAAAAUUUUAAAAAAUUGAUUAAUUAAAA